UACGUAGGGUGCAAGCGUUGUCCGGAAUUAUUGGGCGUAAAGAGCGUGUAGGCGGCCUGAUAGGUCAGCUGUGAAAACUCGAGGCUCAACCUCGAGACGUCGGUUGAAACCAUCUGGCUAGAGUCCGGAAGAGGAGUGUGGAAUUCCCGGUGUAGCGGUGAAAUGCGCAGAUAUCGGGAAGAACACCCGUGGCGAAGGCGGCACUCUGGGACGGUACUGACGCUGAGACGCGAAAGCGUGGGGAGCGAACAGG
rnacentral:rRNA from 1 species